rnacentral:lncRNA from 1 species
UUAUUAGAAUGGAAUUCAAUUCUUAUAGCACGCUCUUAGACUCGCUUCUCUAUAGUAGAAGUGCAGCAUACAAGUAUCUCUCCCAUAUCACCAACUAUAAUAUACAACUAUAUUCCACAUACAAUUAUAUUAGCUUAAUUAAUUUGUGUCUAAAUUAUAAUUAUUAGGAUGGAAUUCAAUUCCAAUGAUCCAAACGAGGC